rnacentral:rRNA from 1 species
AUUGAACGCUGGCGGCAUGCCUUACACAUGCAAGUCGAACGGCAGCACGGGAGCAAUCCUGGUGGCGAGUGGCGAACGGGUGAGUAAUAUAUCGGAACGUGCCCAGUCGUGGGGGAUAACGUAGCGAAAGCUACGCUAAUACCGCAUACGAUCUAUGGAUGAAAGCGGGGGAUCGCAAGACCUCGCGCGAUUGGAGCGGCCGAUAUCAGAUUAGGUAGUUGGUGAGGCAAAGGCUCACCAAGCCGACGAUCUGUAGCUGGUCUGAGAGGACGACCAGCCACACUGGGACUGAGACACGGCCCAGACUCCUACGGGAGGCAGCAGUGGGGAAUUUUGGACAAUGGGCGCAAGCCUGAUCCAGCAAUGCCGCGUGCAGGAUGAAGGCCUUCGGGUUGUAAACUGCUUUUGUACGGAACGAAACGGUGAGCUCUAAUACAGUUUGCUAAUGACGGUACCGUAAGAAUAAGCACCGGCUAACUACGUG